AACAAAAGAGAUUUGUGGGUACCAGAUCCUGAGGUUGACCCACCCAUUUUGAAGCAUACAGGAGAGUUUAAAUGAGAAGGAGAGCACUACCUUGAUUAAUCCACUGUUAAUGAUGUUUUGAUCACUUCUGUUGAACCCAGUAGUAAUUCAAAUUCUCUUAGAGCUGGAAUGCUGCCCUCAGCAUGUGGUAUUAGAUUGUCCUAAUAAGACCUUAUAGCAGAUUGGCAAGCCGGUGACCCUUAUUAUGUCUCUGCAAAUGUCUAGGAACAGCUUCCCCAAAAGUCUCCUGGAAAGUGGUCCAUCUGUCUGCUGAGGAUAAGCUUUAAUAACAAUGUUUAUUAGGGAGAAGAGGAAUGUGCUAAACACUAUGCAAUAUGAGAGUCUUCUGAUAUACAAUAAAUAUCAAAAGGUUUUGCAAUGAAGAA